rnacentral:lncRNA from 1 species
GUUUAGUGCCCUCCUAAACUUACACAUUAAGAAAAGCCCAUUUAUAUAAAUAAUUAAUUAUAGACUUAUCAAGCACGGUAGAAACCUAUCCGUAGCGUUGGAUUCGACUGUGCAAAUUCAAUCAAAAAAAAAAAAAAAAAAGAAAGAGAAAACAAGUGUCCUUUUUGAAAAGUCGAGACAAAGCUACCACUUUUGAUAAAAAUAAAAUAAAGGUU